rnacentral:rRNA from 1 species
CCUACGGGUGGCUGCAGUGAGGAAUAUUGGUCAAUGGGCGAGAGCCUGAACCAGCCAAGUCGCGUGAGGGAGUACUGCCCUAUGGGUUGUAAACCUCUUUUGUCGGGGAGCAAAAGCCGGACGUGUCCGGCUGUGAGAGUACCCGAAGAAAAAGCAUCGGCUAACUCCGUGCCAGCAGCCGCGGUAAUACGGAGGGUGCGAGCGUUAAUCGGAAUCACUGGGCGUAAAGCGCGCGUAGGCGGCUUUUCAAGUCAGGGGUGAAAUCCCACGGCCCAACCGUGGAACUGCCUUUGAAACUGUAGAGCGUGAGUGUCGGAGAGGGUGGCGGAAUUCCAGGUGUAGGAGUGAAAUCCGUAGAUAUCUGGAGGAACACCGGUGGCGAAGGCGGCCACCUGGACGACAACUGACGCUGAGGUGCGAAAGCGUGGGUAGCAAACAGGAUUAGAUACCCCGGUAGU